rnacentral:rRNA from 1 species
GAUGAACGCUGGCGGCGUGCCUAAUACAUGCAAGUCGAGCGAACAGACGAGGAGCUUGCUCCUCUGACGUUAGCGGCGGACGGGUGAGUAACACGUGGAUAACCUACCUAUAAGACUGGGAUAACUUCGGGAAACCGGAGCUAAUACCGGAUAAUAUAUUGAACCGCAUGGUUCAAUAGUGAAAGACGGUUUUGCUGUCACUUAUAGAUGGAUCCGCGCCGCAUUAGCUAGUUGGUAAGGUAACGGCUUACCAAGGCGACGAUGCGUAGCCGACCUGAGAGGGUGAUCGGCCACACUGGAACUGAGACACGGUCCAGACUCCUACGGGAGGCAGCAGUAGGGAAUCUUCCGCAAUGGGCGCAAGCCUGACGGAGCCACGCCGCGUGAGUGAUGAAGGUCUUCGGAUCGUAAAACUCUGUUAUUGGGGAAGAACAAAUGUGUAAGUAACUAUGCACGUCUUGACGGUACCUAAUCAGAAAGCCACGGCUAACUACGUG